AACGAACGCUGGCGGCAGGCCUAACACAUGCAAGUCGAACGCCCUGGCAACAGGGAGUGGCAGACGGGUGAGUAACGCGUGGGAACGUGCCCUUCGGUUCGGAAUAACUCCGGGAAACUUGAGCUAAUACCGGAUACGUGCGAGAGCAGAAAGAUUUAUCGCCGAAGGAUCGGCCCGCGUCCGAUUAGCUAGUUGGUGAGGUAACGGCUCACCAAGGCGACGAUCGGUAGCUGGUCUGAGAGGAUGAUCAGCCACACUGGGACUGAGACACGGCCCAGACUCCUACGGGAGGCAGCAGUGGGGAAUAUUGGACAAUGGGCGCAAGCCUGAUCCAGCCAUGCCGCGUGAGUGAUGAAGGCCCUAGGGUUGUAAAGCUCUUUCGCCAGGGACGAUAAUGACGUUACCUGGAUAAGAAGCCCCGGCUAACUUCGUGCCAGCAGCCGCGGUAA
rnacentral:rRNA from 1 species